UAGCCUUUCAUGGAAGUCUUUUGAUGAAUAACAUGGUUCAUUUACAAGUGAUGCUCGUAAUGUUAGACCCGGAUUGGCAACUGAUGGUUUCUAGCCUUUUGAAAAUAUGAGCUCCCAACAUAGCAUUUGGCCUGUAAUUCUUAUACCCUAUAACUUGCCCCCUUGGAUUUGUAUGAAGCAGACCAAUUUGAUGAUGUCAAUGAUUAUUCCAGGUAAGCAUAGUCCAGGAAUGGGUAUAAAUAUUUUUUUUGCAACCUUUAAUUACUGAAUUAAAAGAGUUGUGGGAGGUUGGUGUGGACACUUAUGAUGCACAUAGCAAAAAGAACUUCACAUUGCAUGCAUCCAUUAUUUGGACAAUAAGUGAUUUUCUAGCUUAUGGAGAUUUAUCAGGGUGGUCAAUAAAUGGUUACAAGGCUUGUUUUGCUUGCCACAAAUAUACUAGUGCAAAACACCUUGCUUGUUCAAAGAAAAUGUGCUAUAUGGAUCAUAAAAGGUUUUUGCCUCCUAGUCAUAAAUGGCGUAAGGACACUAAGUCCUUCAAUGGCUUUAGAGAGAUAAGAGCAAUUCCAAAACCACUAUCAGGUGAUGAGCUGUUAAUGGAGCUUUAAACUUUCACUCAAAUGCCAUGUAAUAGAGGCAUCAAAAGGAAGUAUGAUGCUUCAAAUAGUUUCGAGAAUUGGAGGAAGAAGAGUAUCUUUUUUCAGUUACCCUAUUGGAAGACACUUCUUAUUCGGCAUAAUCUGGAUGUGAUGCACAUUGAAAAGAAUGUGUGUGAUAAUGUGUUAGAAACUAUAAUGAACAUCAAAGGAAAGACAAAAGAUAAUUUAAAUAGCCGUUAUGAUUUGAUGAGUAUGGGCAUUAGACACGAGCUUCACCGAAUUGUGAAUGGAAAUAAUGUUUGUGUCCCAAUGGCAUAAUAUGUGCUUUCUAAUCAUGAAAAGGAUGUAACACCCCAAAGUUCGGUAGUGCGUUCUACUGCUCCGGUGACCAGUGCUGUCCGGACAGUUAGGAUGCCUAGAACCACACUUCAAUAUGAAUGAGGAGACAUAAAUAAUGAAAUACAAGAAAAGA
rnacentral:misc_RNA from 1 species